GCCGUGGACUGCAGCUGCACUCCAGUCUUUAAGCCCAGCUGUGCUCGGGUGUCUCACUUUCUACACCCCACCCUCAGCAUCAGAUAUACUCUAUCUCAGAAGCAAAAAGCCAUCCAUGAACAAAGACCUGGGACCAAGCCGACUCAUAAUACUAGUGGGAAACGGCCCCACCAGCAGCCCGCACCUGCAUCCUGCUCUCCCGCUGCCUCACUGGACCCUUGCAGUUAACUGGGACUUCAGCAGAGCAGAGCCUCAUCUUACGGAGGUCAAGUGUCCCACUGCUGCAGGGCCUUCAACCUGGAUCAUCCAGGUCUUCACAGGACUCCUCCCCCAGAAUGAUGCCUCCUUUGACAAUAGCUGGAGAUGUCAGAAAUGAGAUCAUUACUCAGCACUGGAUGCAGUGGUGCGUGUCUGUGUUCCCAGCUACUCAGGAGGCAGAGAUAGGAGGAUCACUCGAGCCCAGAAGGUGGAGGCUGCAGUUAACUUUAAUCUGCACCACUGCACUCCAGCCCAGUUGACAGAACAAGACACUGUUUCUUAAAGAAUAAUAAUAAUAAUAAAUUUAAGUCUGGAAAAUCUGUUAUAGGUAAUACCCCUGGCGUAGCUGAAAUACUCACAUUUUAACGGUUCUGGAGAGAGAGAU
rnacentral:lncRNA from 1 species